UCUGCACACUUACAAAAGGCCAAGGAGUAAAACACACCAGGGAAGAAGUUGUGGAUAAAAGCCUGAGGUAGGUGGCAUUAAUCUGCUUGCUCAGAGGCUUGUUUUGGCCGUCGUCAGUCAUCUGUCAGCAACUCCUGCGUGAUCCUCUCAAACAGCAGCUACCGCUCAUGUUGAAAGGAGCUGGUUUCCUGGGGCAUUCCCUGCCCUCGAGCCCUGCUGCAUUGCACUUAGCUACAGAAGUAGCUCCGUCCCUGCAUUCAGGGCCGGCCUGCAGGGACCGUGGCUGUGGUUGGCGUGCUGCCUCCCAUGCGGAUGACCCACUUUGGACAUUGCUUGCUGGAGAGCAGCGCUUCCAGACCAGGCAGCAGCAGCAACCUUGGGGUGUUGAAGCUAAGCCCCUGUGCAGCCUGGGCUGGGCAUCCCUUGGGGUCUGUGUCAGUGCGAUGCAGCUUGACUUUGUGCAGAGCAUGUAUACAUCUAAAUGUCACCUGAGUACUCCGAAAAACUUGCUAUGGGAGCUCCCUGGUGGAUCUGUAUGGCGUGGGAUUUCAUACCCUGUAUAGCUGAGCAGUUCCUCAACCAAAUUUUUCAAGAAAUCAGUUAUAAUUGAGGCAUUGUUUUUGAAUUCCUCUUGCGGUUUCUGCUUGCCCUGCGACGAUCUCUCAAGAGGAAGUUUACUAAAAAUACCGAAGCAUAAGAGUUCCCCGUUCGACAGACGUGCGCAAGAGGCACGGGGGAGCGGCCUGCAGCCGGCAGCUUCGGGCAGGCGUGGAGGAGCUGUGUGAACCUGCUCCCCAAAUGCAAGGGGCAAACGUGUAAAAGGAAUGCAAUAGGAAGUGGUGGCACUUGGAAUUUCUUUGGAAAAAGCUUUUUUUUUUUUUUUUUCCUUCAAUGGGGCCUUACAGUUGCAUGCCUGGAAUACUUGUGAAAUCCCUGCUUAACUCUUGAUUCCCGUCUAUGCAAGAUGAUAAACUUGAUUAGUUAAAGUCCCCUGUGCUCAACCAAACCGAUAACAUCCAAAGUAUACCUAGAAAGAAUGUAGAGGUACAGUUUGUAAGGCAGUGCCCUCUGGACUCAAAUAGAAAGUGUUUCCCUAAUUAACUUCUGUCUAAGGGCUGGCAGUGAUACUUACCCAAUUGGCAAACCUAGUCUCAAAUUUCAGCUUUAAAAUACAAUUGGCAGCUCAGCAAAUUCAUAGAAUUGAUCCCCAUUCACACUUAUUUUUGGCUUGCGUUAAGAAUGUGCCAACCUGGAACUCUAAACUUAACCCGGCGUGACUUUUCCAGCGCUGCUGCCUGAAGAGGGAAGCCUGGCAGCGGCGCCUGGGCGCCCGCCAAGACAAACACGCCUGGCGGAUGCCAGCACAGCGACGACUGGAGCCACAGUGUCUGCAGUGUGGAUAAAUUCAGCAAGGUGAUGAUCACAGGAGAGAGCUGGACCCACUUUGCUGAGUGCUGCAAGUAUGCCGAUGGAUGUCAGCCACCCUUUUGAGGCUUACUUCGCAGAGCAGUAUCUUCUGGAGGAAAGCAGCCAGGCUCCUGGAGGAUUGCUCCCACUGCUUCAGUCUUCUAAAAGAGUCUUGAUGACCAAAGAGCAAAGAACAUCAAGGGCUUUCUGAGACUCUCAGGCUGUUGGGAUUUAUGGAUUCAUUUUCAACUUGGCAGCAAGAGCUGGACUCAAAUGCAUCUCAGCAGAGACACCAAAUGGCAACAGCCAUCUAUCGUGUCUGCACAAGAGGUACCUAUGCCUUUCUGUUAGCAAUUUCUUCCCUUACCUCUCAAGCCAGAAAGCAAUCCUACUGUCUUGGAAAGUAUAAAAAACUGCAGCAGAAGGUCCUGAGUCCCACAUGCUUGCUCAGUGGCAAAAUAACAAAACGGUUUUUGCUUGCCGUGGGCUUUUCGCCAAGGGCAGAGUUCCUCUGCAGCACUCAAUGACGUAACGCUGCUGCUGCUCUGCCCUAGAAACACAAACUUCAUGAGAAAAAUCCCUCUGAGUGGAUGAGCCAAGAGAAAUCAAGUUCUGUUUAGCACCAAAGUCUGAUUUAUUUUCUCAGACGCUUUCUCAGUAGAAUGCACAUUCUAAGUAUUUUACUGAAAGAUUUCUUAGUAACUAUAGCAGAAAUGAACGCAAAAUAAAUUAUUAAACCUAAGAGAGAGGUUCUGAACAAGCACCAAAUUCCAAUGCAUUCUUGAAGGAAAAGGAGAAAAGCUUACGUACGUGUUGCCAGCAAGCCAAGGGCACUAUAUAAAGGCACCAUGCCAUUUUUUCUAUGUUUUAAAUGCUUUCUGUAUUGAAAUGGGUAACCUACCUACAUUCCAGACAUAAAAACAUGUUGGCACUGCAGCAGGCUAUAACCAUACGUGUCGUGUGUGUAUUUUCUGAAUGCUGGCAUUUGGAACUUGCUGUUUGAGCAUUUGGAAGGUAUUUUUCCACUCUGCAUGGCACUUUUUGAGUGUGCCGAUGUGCAAGCAGGUAGCUUGGAAAGCUCUGGUACAGGUCGUGAGGCAAUCCGGUGAGCCUGUCUGGUCACUUUGAUGUGUUAAAAGCAGUGUGUGCAUAUUUUAUGGCAACUAACAAUGGCUGUAGAACUUAAGUACUUUCCAAAGCAGUUCACAGGAUACUUUUUCCAUAGUUUUGGUUUAACAUCAGUUCUAAUCUGUGUGCAUUUUCCAGUGGAUAACUGAUAAACUGUUCUGAUGAUCCAAAACUUGUUUAUCUGAAUGAGGCAACUUAUUUUAAAAAAUCACUAUUAUAAUGACUAUAACUAGUGGAAAAUAACAUGAGGAAAAAGCUAUAAUUAUUUCUUGACAGAGUCAACCACCAUGUGACCACAAGCAAUUCAGCUGAUACAGUUUGCUUAUUUCUGUACUAAUUUGCUGAUCAGUCUUUUAGCAAAUAAAAAAAUAAAAAGGUGUUGGUGGUUUCCAGAAGGAAACAGGUUAAAGUAGCACGACAUUCAAGAUGAAUCAUUUGAUAGUUGAUAGUGAUACUAAGGGUAAA